AAAGAUUUUCGGCUUCGUCUUCUUCUUCCUCACUCGACUCGUCACCGGAGUCGCCUCCCCGAGAUGUGUAUGCUCGUUGUUUCUUGAAGGGUUUCUUCUCCUUUUUGGCAUUUGGGUAAUUUGAUUUAAUGUGCCCGGUUUCUACGCACUCAUAGCACUUUAUUUGAUCUCCUUGCUUUUUGCCCUUUCGUUCAUACUCUUUUCGCAUGAACAUAUGAAAUCUCUUAAUAAC
rnacentral:lncRNA from 1 species